rnacentral:rRNA from 1 species
GAUGAACGCUGGCGGCGUGCCUAAUACAUGCAAGUCGAGCGAACAGAUAAGGAGCUUGCUCCUUUGACGUUAGCGGCGGACGGGUGAGUAACACGUGGGUAACCUACCUAUAAGACUGGAAUAACUCCGGGAAACCGGGGCUAAUGCCGGAUAACAUUUAGAACCGCAUGGUUCUAAAGUGAAAGAUGGUUUUACUAUCACUUAUAGAUGGACCCGCGCCGUAUUAGCUAGUUGGUAAGGUAACGGCUUACCAAGGCAACGAUACGUAGCCGACCUGUGAGGGUGAUCGGCCACACUGGAACUGAGACACGGUCCAGACUCCUACGGGAGGCAGCAGUAGGGAAUCUUCCGCAAAGGGCGAAAGCCUGACGGAGCAACGCCGCGUGAGUGAUGAAGGUCUUCGGAUCGUAAAACUCUGUUAUUAGGGAAGAACAAAUGUGUAAGUAACUGUGCACGUCUUGACGGUACCUAAUCAGAAAGCCACGGCUAACUACGUG